GUAGACAGAGGACAAUAGAGGCAGGUUGGUAGCCUGGUAAAACCCUACAGGAUCAUUAGUACCAGCUGUAGACAGAGGACAAGAGAGGCAGGUUGGUAGCCUGGUAAAACCCUACAGUAUCAUUAGUACCAGCUGUAGACAGAGGACAAGAGGCAGGUUGGUAGCCUGGUAAAACCCUACAGGAUCAUUAGCCUGGAAUCUCUGGAUGGAAAUAUAUGGUUUUAUGGUGCAGAAAGGUGUUGAUAUGGUUCAGAAAGGUGUUGAUAUGGUGCAGACAGAAAAGGUGUUGAGAUGGUGCAGAAAGGUGUUGAUAUGGUGCAGACAGACAGAAAGGUGUUGAUAUGGUGCAGAAAGGUGUUGAUAUGGUGCAGAAAGGUGUUGAUAUGGUGCAGAAAGGUGUUGAUAUGGUGCAGAAAGGUGUUGCUAUGGUGCAGAAAGGUGUUGAUAUGGUGCAGAAAGGUGUUGAUAUGGUGCAGACAGACAAAGGUGUUGAUAUGGUGCAGAAAGGUGUUGAUAUGGUGCAGAAAGGUGUUGAUAUGGUUCAGAAAGGUGUUGAUAUGGUUCAGAAAGGUGUUGAUAUGGUGCAGAAAGGUGUUGAUAUGGUGCAGAAAGGUGUUGAUAUGGUGCAGAAAGGUGUUGAUAUGGGGCAGAAAGGUGUUGAUAUGGUGCAGAAAGGUGUUGAUAUGGUUCAGAAAGGUGUUGAUAUGGUGCAGAAAGGUGUUGAUAUGGUGCAGAAAGGUGUUGAUAUGGUUCAGAAAGGUGUUGAUAUGGUUCAGAAAGGUGUUGAUAUGGUGCAGAAAGGUGUUGAUAUGGUGCAGAAAGGUGUUGAUAUGGUGCAGAAAGGUGUUGAUAUGGUGCAGACAGACAGAAAGGUGUUGAUAUGGUGCAGAAAGGUGUUGAUAUGGUUCAGACAGACAGAAAGGUGUUGAUAUGGUGCAGACAGACAUAAAGGUGUUGAUAUGGGGCAGACAGACAGAAAGGUGUUGAUAUGGGGCAGACAGACAGAAAGGUGUUGAUAUGGUGCAGAAAGGUGUUGAUAUGGUGCAGAAAGGUGUUGAUAUGGUUCAGAAAGGUGUUGAUAUGGUUCAGAAAGGUGUUGAUAUGGUGCCGCUUUUUUCAUGUUCAAAUAAGGAGACUGGCAGACGACCU